GAUGAACGCUAGCGGCAAGCUUAAUACAUGCAAGUCGUGGGGCAGCAUGAAGUAGCAAUACUUUGAUGGCGACCGGCAAACGGGUGCGGAACACGUACACAACCUCCCGAUAAGUGGGGAAUAGCCCAGAGAAAUUUGGAUUAAUACCCCGUAACAUUGCGAUGUGGCAUCACAUUGCAAUUAUAGCUUCGGCGCUUAUUGAUGGGUGUGCGUAUGAUUAGAUAGUUGGCGGGGUAACGCCCACCAAGUCUACGAUCAUUAGCUGAUGUGAGAGCAUGAUCAGCCACACGGGCACUGAGACACGGGCCC
rnacentral:rRNA from 1 species